GAGCAGAGGCGGCCACGGGGCGCGGAGGGCGGCUGUGCUGGCGGCAGCGGAGACGACGGCCGUCUGCUGGAAGCCUCUGGAGGGCGGGCAGCCGGUACGAACGCCGUCCUUCGCCCACCCUUAAAGACUUUGCAAUCGGUGGGAAAACACGGCAGAGAAAUUUUUUUCCACAAUCAAAAGAGAAUUACCACCUUUAAACGGUCAUACUUUUUCCUGUUUUAAUCUAAAAACCCUUAAAACGACAAGAGUUGAAAGUUACUACCCAGCCCAGAAGCAAAAGGAUCUUGUGCUCCUUAGAAACUUUUGUCUUUUAACAGUUCUGUACCUGUUGACAGUCCUGGUGUUAAAUGAGGGAACUGAGGGAGACCCUGAAGGUGCCCCCGAGAAAUGAGCAACCAGGAUGAGGCCUGCUGGGACACCCCACUCGCUCCAGAGCCUGCAGACAGGAUCCAGGAAAACUGGUAGAAGCUGCCAAAGGGUGAGAAUUCUUACCAAAGUCACCCUCCAGAUCUCUAUCUGUGGUGCCUGGUUGAGAGAGGAAGGUAAAAUUUCACAUUAUUGCUUCUAUUCCAAACUCAGAUUGGCAGGACAAAACAUUUGUAAGAAUAAGAUCUUGACUGAAAGUAUGAAUCUGCUUUCAGGUACCCAUUGGUUGUUGAUCCUUUCCCUCCUAGGGAUAACUAUUGCCUUAUUGUUUGUCUCCUUUAGUGGCCAGAGAAACUGGCCUGGCAAUCAUCGGGUUGUGGACCCCUACAAUAAGGCAAGACAGAAAUGUAGGUUGCACUCCAUCUGCAGCUAGAUAUGGCUGGACAGAAAUACGGGUUGCACCCCAUCUGCAGCUAGAUAUGGCUGGACAGAAAUGUGGGUUGCACCCCAUCUGCAGCUGGACAUGGCUGGACAGAAAUGUGGGUUGCACUCCACUUGCAGCUGGGAUUCUACCCACUGUUGCCAGCUCUCAGGGGAAUUAUUUCUUUCUUGCUUUGAUUUAUCUUGGAGAGUGGCUCUGGAUCCUGAGAAGGUAGUAUCUUUUUUUCCUCUUUGAGGACACCUCUUGUGUCCACGGAGUUGUUCAGUACUGCCAGGAAUAUUUACUAUUUGCCCUGGCUGAAAUCUGACAAGAUAUUCAAAAGGAUUUUUUUAAGUAUCUCUAUGGUCAAAAGUUGGCCCAAUAAGAAGCUGAUAUUUAGAGCCUGAUAGAAAACAAUUUUUUUAGGCCUUCUCCCCUAAGCUAGAAUGAAACUAUAUACCCAGAGGGAAAGAAGAACAUUCUGAAGUCUUUGUGGAAGAAUUUACUAAAAUAUUCCAAAGACACACAGCUCUAACUCUAGAACAUAGGGAUCUUUUGUUUUCCAUCUUAGUUGAUGAUCUUCUCCCUGAUAUAAAGAAGCAAACUGAGGAUAAUGUGCUUGGUAGAUGGGGUCCCUCCUUGAUAUUAAUCUGGUUGCAAUCCCAUUCUCUGAGAAAUUAAAAAUAACCAUAGUUGUCUUACAAAUUGAGUCUUUACAAGAACAGAAAUGUGGAUCUAGAAACAAUUCAAAGCCCAUCUAUCUUUUUUACCAAUCCAAAACCUCCGAUAUUCAUCUCAGAAGGCUUGCAGAUAUUCUAAAGGAUCUGGGCUUCAGAAACAAAAGUCCUUCUAAGGGGAACUUGUAUUCUUUCUCUGUGCCUUUUGAAAUGUAAAUAUUCUACCUGGUCUUCUCUAGGAACCAAGGUCAUUCAUAUCAGAAGAAAGAAAAAGAAAAGGCAAUUUUGAAAACUAGGCUUAUUGAAAAUCUCUUCCACAAAUAAUAGUAAAAAGCUUUAGCCAUCUGAGCAGAUAUUAUUUUACUCUAAUGCUUUUGCAAAAGGAAGAUUCAUGGAAAGGACCCUACCAAGUACUCUUGGACCAUGACUCUGCUGCCAAAUUACAAAGUGUCAAAACUUGGGUGCACAUUUCACAACCGAAGAAAGCUCCACCUGACAUCUGGUCCUGUGCAAAUGCUGGAGACAUCGAAAUCAAAUUGAGCAGGAAGAGCAGUGGCCAGCAUCGAGGUAGAUGCUUCCUCCCAAGAUGUCAGAUCGAGAACGUCUCUUUCCAGUCCUCCUCCCCUCUCUGACCUUCCUUUUCCUAAUUUUUACACCAUGAAUGUCUUUAUUUUUGUUGUUGCGGUUGUUCACGUUUUGUCUUGCUCUGGCCUGGAAAAAUAAUAUCAUUGUUCACACAUCUCAGGCCACUGCAGAGGAGGGUACUCCCACCUCAACAUGGCUGUUGGAUUUGCCACAGUGGUGUUGACCCUGCCCUCACAAACUUCUCCCUGAUCUCCAAUGCCUCCAUUUCUCGGGACAAUCUCACUCCUUUCUCUAUCAUGCCAGACUCUCCAAACCUGGGGGUCCAUUUCCCCGCUUCUGGUUAACAGCUCCAAACCCAGGGGACCUUGCUUCUAGGCUCUGUACAAAGAAAGGGACACAAGAUAAAGGCAACCAGAAUAAAACCACCCAUGCAGUCUACAGUCCCUUAAGUUUUACUCACCUCCAUGGCUGUCAACUUUCUAGUCCUGAGCCACAGACAAAAAUUGGAAUUGCCAGGAGGCAUCCAUGAUUUAAAAAGUUCACUUCCUUCAGCAGAUCUCUACUCCCCUGGCUAGGAGUAAGUGCAAAUGAGGCUAUGUUCAGGGAGCUCUCCUUAACUCUUGAAGAUAUUGCAAUCCAGUCUAAAUUAGAUGAUGCUUGAUUCAAAUCAAUUUUUGCUCAAAUAAACUAAAAAAUGUUAAUGUGCCUCAGUUUAUCUUUUAACAAAUAUCUUUGCCUUCCCUGACCACUCAAUUUAAAUUAAAGUAUAGCUUCCUGAACUCUGUAUUAUCUCAUUAGAUACAGCAUAGUAUCUUCGCAAUUUAGCUAUGAAAAAUUUGUCUAUAUUAGCCCACAGCUGAUUAACCAAAACAAAACAAACGACACAAAAACAAACUCUUAGAAGCAGACAACAGAUUAGUGAUUAUCAGAGGGGAAGGAUGUGGGGGCAAAAUGGGCAAAGGGGGUCAAUUAUAUGGUGAUGAAUGGAAACUACACUUUUGGUGGUGAGCACGCUGUAGUAUAUACAGAUGUGAAAUUAUUAUGUUGUACACCUGAAACCUAUACAAUGUUAUAAACCAAUGUUAUCGCAAUAAAAAAGAAUAAAAGUGGUGAGA